rnacentral:rRNA from 1 species
AUACGUAGGGGCCUGACGUUGUUCGGAAUCAUUGGGCGUAAAGCGCGUCUAGGCGGCUUAGUAAGUCUGAUGUGAAAAUGCGGGGCUCAACCCCGUAUUGCGUUGGAAACUGCUAAACUAGAGUACUGGAGAGGUAGGCGGAACUACAAGUGUAGAGGUGAAAUUCGUAGAUAUUUGUAGGAAUGCCGAUGGGGAAGCCAGCCUACUGGACAGUAACGUACCGUAAAGCGCAAAAGCGUGGGUAGCAAACAGGAUUAGAUACCCUGGUAGGCCACGCCGUAAACGAUGAUUACUAGGUGUUGGGGGUCGAACCUCAGCGCCCAAGCUAACGCGAUAAGUAAUCCGCCUGGGGAGUACGUACGCAAGUAUGAAACUCAAAGGAAUUGACGGGG